rnacentral:ncRNA from 2 species
UCCGCGCAAACGAUUAAAUGCUGUAUAUGUCUAAUAAAACGGAUUGGACGUUUCUACCACUGAGCCUACCUUAGUGACUACAGUAGCUUAUGCGCCUAUC